GGGCAACACAUGAGGAUUUGGUGAUAUAACGCAGUGAAGGACGUUACAGAGACAUACACAGAUUUAAGAACCUUUUCUUCAAUGGAUGCAUGAUUGGCGUCUCGAUGCUCUUUUGGUCCCACCGCCCGGAGGACGAGAUCAGGUCCAGGAACUGAAGAGAGAAGCGUGAAAUGAACUACAGCGCCAAUAGCGAGAGCGGUCUGUGCACACCUCCCACACAGAGGCCAGCGCUCUGACCACAGAUGCCUGUCUCCAGAGUGAAGAGAACAGCUCAUCCUGAUGCGUCGCAGAAGGGGAAACACUCACAUUUUUCACCGCAUCCGCGUAUUUCUGCUCGUUGAAGUAGUCAUAAAACGCUGCCAUGUAGGCCUCUUUGAAACUGGCCUGUGGAAAGGGAGCAAGAGAGAGAUUUUUUGAGUCUUAACAAAACCUUCAUUGUAAAAUACACACACCCAGUCUCACACCACCAACCCUCAAUAGCAGGAAACAAAAUAGCAAAAUCGAAACGAACAAAAAAAGAAAAAACAAUACAAUGAAAACUACAAAAUUGACAUAUAACCAUUCAUCACACCAUUAUCUUAGUAUGCUGUUAAGUACUAGUUCUCCCUCCAGACUGCAUUCUGAGAGAGAGAGAGAGCAGUCACUAUGUUCUCCCCCCUCCCAAAAAAGACAGAAUUAGAAAAGCCUGCAUUUCCUAGGCAGGGUGAGGAUAUGGGUCUGUGAGAUGAACCCAUGGCAUGACCCAUCCCGCUGUCCAACUGCAAAGUGAAAAUGAGCAUCUAGAUACUGGAUAUCACAACAGCUGCAGACUCACAGAUUUGGACUUGGCGAGACUGCCCAGGGUCUGUAUGGUCUUGGAGAUGAGAGUCAAGGUUCGAGAGGUGCACGGAUCCUGUAGAGAGACACACGGGUGAGUUCUCACUCUGUUCCACUCACGCACCCCCAAAUCUCCUUUAGGUACAGCACUCACACUACGCUUCACUCCAUACUUGCACACUGCUGCAGAAUAAUGCUUACUAAUGCACAUCUUGGGGUGCAGUAUGCUGCAUGGAGGCUUCACAUUUACCAGGGCAUGAUUUGAGGAGAGUUUGUCAGACUGGGUUAGAGGAGGGAUUGUCUAGGGAUGCAGGUGUAUUUCUAAAAGACUUUCACAAUGUCAUGUAGUGGAUUGUGCUAGUUAUGCACUGAAUCGAACUGGAUAGAUGACUAACACACAAGCCCUGGCCCCAUUAUGUCAGUCUCCCAUAUGAAGCAAAACUGAGGACUGGGGAUAUCUUAUUAGUAAGGUGAGGAAAAAAAGUAUUCUUAGAUACCAGCAGCUUUACAUGUAUAAUUCACUGCAGUCUUCGCUAGUGAUGUGAGAAUUAUAGGGGUGUGUGCAGUCAUCGAGUUGUGUGGGGAGAGCAGUCAUUGUGUAGCAUGGGGGGAAAUAAUGAGGCUUUGCACUGAUUGGGCGGUUCAUGAGGACGUGUACUCACUGGGUGGUGUGGCCUCAGUUGGAAAAGAUUAGGAGACAGGAUUGCCGGCGCGAAGAAACGCAGGAAGAUGAAACUGCUGACAGCGGUGUACCUGACAUCUUGAUCAACUGUUGGAACAAACACAUUUUAGAUCCUACAGGUGUAUUCACAUUCCUGUAACUACCACGAUGCAUCCACACAAACCCUCAAAAUUACACAUUAAAUCAACACUGUAAGAGAACCCUGAGUAAAAUUGGAAA